UACGUAGGUGGCAAGCGUUAUCCGGAAUUACUGGGCGUAAAGCGCACGCAGGCGGUCUGUUAAGUUUGACGUGAAAGCUCCCGGCUUAACUGGGAGAGGUCGUUGAAGACUGGCAGACUUGAGGCAAUGAGAGGGGUGUAGAAUUCCAGGUGUAGUGGUGGAAUGCGUAGAUAUCUGGAGGAAUACCAGUGGCGAAAGCGGCACCCUAGCGUUGUUCUGACGCUCAUGUGCGAAAGCGUGGGGAGCGAACGGG
rnacentral:rRNA from 1 species